AACGCGAAGAACCUUACCUACCCUUGACAUCCACAGAAUUCUACAGAGAUGUGGGAGUGCCGCAAGGAACUGUGAGACAGGUGCUGCAUGGCUGUCGUCAGCUCGUGUUGUGAGAUGUUGGGUUAAGUCCCGUAACGAGCGCAACCCUUGUCCUUAGUUGCUAACCAUGAAAGUGGAGCACUCUAGGGAGACUGCCGGUGGUGAACCGGAGGAAGGUGGGGACGACGUCAAGUCAUCAUGGCCUUUAUGGGUAGGGCUACACACGUGCUACAAUGGUCGGUACAGAGGGAAGCGAAGCGGCGACGUGGAGCGAAUCCUUUAAAGCCGAUCCAAGUCCAGAUCGGAGUCUGCAACUCGACUCCGUGAAGUCGGAAUCGCUAGUAAUCGCGAAUCAGAAUGUCGCGGUGAAUACGUUCCCGGGCCUUGUACACACCGAUAGC
rnacentral:rRNA from 1 species